UACGUAGGGUGCGAGCGUUAAUCGGAUUUACUGGGCGUAAAGAGCGCGCAGGCGGUCGUUCAAGUCGCGUGUGAAAGCCCCCGGCUCAACUGGGGAGGGUCACGCGAUACUGAUCGACUCGAAGGCAGGAGAGGGAAGUGGAAUUCCCGGUGUAGUGGUGAAAUGCGUAGAUAUCGGGAGGAACACCAGUGGCGAAGGCGACUUCCUGGCCUGUUCUUGACGCUGAGGCGCGAAAGCUAGGGGAGCAAACGGG
rnacentral:rRNA from 1 species